rnacentral:rRNA from 1 species
ACGCUAGCGGCAGGCUUAACACAUGCAAGUCGAGGGGUAUAGUAGCAAUACUAGAGACCGGCGCACGGGAGUUAACGCGUAUGCAAUCUACCUUUUGCAGAGGGAUAGCCCAGAGAAAUUUGGAUUAAUACCUCAUAGUAUAAUGACUCGGCAUCGAGAUAUUAUUAAAGUCACAACGGCAAAAGAUGAGCAUGCGUCCCAUUAGCUUGUUGGUAAGGUAACGGCUUACCAAGGCCACGAUGGGUAGGGGUCCUGAGAGGGAGAUCCCCCACACUGGUACUGAGACACGGACCAGACUCCUACGGGAGGCAGCAGUGAGGAAUAUUGGACAAUGGGCGCAAGCCUGAUCCAGCCAUGCCGCGUGCAGGAUGACGGUCCUAUGGAUUGUAAACUGCUUUUGCACAGGAAGAAACACUCCCUCGUGAGGGAGCUUGACGGUACUGUGAGAAUAAGGAUCGGCUAACUCCGUGCCAGCAGCCGCGGUAAUACGGAGGAUCCAAGCGUUAUCCGGAAUCAUUGGGUUUAAAGGGUCCGUAGGCGGUCUUAUAAGUCAGUGGUGAAAUCUCCCCGCUCAACGGGGAAACGGCCAUUGAUACUGUAGGACUUGAAUUAUAAGGAAGUAACUAGAAUAUGUAGUGUAGCGGUGAAAUGCUUAGAGAUUACAUGGAAUACCAAUUGCGAAGGCAGGUUACUACUUAUGGAUUGACGCUGAUGGACGAAAGCGUGGGUAGCGAACAGGAUUAGAUACCCUGGUAGUCCACGCCGUAAACGAUGGAUACUAGCUGUUGGGAGCAAUUUCAGUGGCUAAGCGAAAGUGAUAAGUAUCCCACCUGGGGAGUACGUUCGCAAGAAUGAAACUCAAAGGAAUUGACGGGGGCCCGCACAAGCGGUGGAGCAUGUGGUUUAAUUCGAUGAUACGCGAGGAACCUUACCAAGGCUUAAAUGUAGAUUGACCGGACUGGAAACAGUUUUUUCGCAAGACAAUUUACAAGGUGCUGCAUGGUUGUCGUCAGCUCGUGCCGUGAGGUGUCAGGUUAAGUCCUAUAACGAGCGCAACCCCUGUUGUUAGUUGCCAGCGAGUCAUGUCGGGAACUCUAACGAGACUGCCAGUGCAAACUGUGAGGAAGGUGGGGAUGACGUCAAAUCAUCACGGCCCUUACGCCUUGGGCUACACACGUGCUACAAUGGCCGGUACAGAGAGCAGCCACUGGGUGACCAGGAGCGAAUCUACAAAACCGGUCACAGUUCGGGAUCGGAGUCUGCAACUCGACUCCGUGAAGCUGGAAUCGCUAGUAAUCGGAUAUCAGCCAUGAUCCGGUGAAUACGUUCCCGGGCCUUGUACACACCGCCCGUCAAGCCAUGGAAGCUGGGGGUGCCUGAAAGUCGGUGACCGCAAGGAGCUGCCUAGGGUAAAACUGGUAACUAGGG